rnacentral:lncRNA from 1 species
UUAAUCUAUGAAGGCUUAGGAAACCUUGGGAAGAAGGAAUGAGGAGAAGAAGGCAUUAAGAGGAGUUAGGCCGAGACAAGACCGUACAGGCCGUACACAGGCCGUACUGUCCGUACAAGUAGGGCACAGCCAAAUGAGAAGUUACUCUACCUUGAGGUGAAAGGUAACUUAGAAGGAGUUAACCUUUGGGAGUAACUGAGCAGGCCGUUGAAGAUAGGAUAAGGGACGCGGCUUGACAGGCUGGAUGAGAGCUGUAAAGGGAAAACCUUAUCCAUCCGGUCACACAUGUGAAGCUCCUUAUUGGCUUAGUUUGAAUUAGGCGCGCCUCUCCUCCUUUGACUAAACAUGCUUGUUCUACUUUAUCCUCAUGAAGCCCUAGGAUCUAAAGACUAUAUAUUGUAAACUCUCUCAUUAAUAAAAGAUCAGACAGUUCUAAACAAUCUUUCUCUUUACUCAUUUCACUAUGAUUCUCCAUUAGUCUCUAAGUAGUCUCUUAAUCUCUUAAUCUCUUAUUCUCCUUCUCUAAUCCUUUCUAAACUCAGAUAAUCCUUUACAUUC